rnacentral:tRNA from 1 species
GUCAGGAUGGCCAAGUGGUCUAAGGCGCCAGACUCAAAGCCUUGCCCUUCUUUCUCUUGGGUCUUCUGUUCUCUGUAUGGGGGCAUGGUUUCAAAUCUCAUUCUGACA